UUCAAUUUUCUUCCAUCAACAACUAGGGUUAGGAGAUCUGGAGAUGGUGGCUUCGACCAACAAGACGCCCUCGUUCCGCGCACGGCCGGCGACCGGCGACCGGCGCGACUAAUUCCUCUCCAGCGGCUGCCUUCUCUCCUCUCCGGCCGGUGGCCCACUGCGCCAACCCACCACGACGACCUCGUUCCCGCAGGGCCGGCGACCGACCGGCGCGGCUAAUUCCGUUGCGGCAGCUGGCUUCUCUCUCUCCGACGUAUGGCGCACUGGGCCAAUCCUCCUCUGAGCGCUCCCCAUCGAAUUGGUACUGGAUCCAGGUCCGAAGGUUGCAUGGUGGCACUACUGGCUUCAGCAAAUUAUUAGGACUAAUAUACUAUGGCAUUGUGAUGUUCUUAUCUAGUGUACUGGAGCCAUUAGCUAUUGGCGCUAGACUUAUGCAAGUUAUUAGCUAGCUAUGUGCUUUAUGACUGAUCCAUGUAUAAAGCUGCAGAUUUGCCAUCAGUUAGUGAUGCUCUAUUUUGUAACUUUGUACUGUAGUAAAGCAUUAUCUUAAGUGACUGAAUAAGAUUGAUGCUGCAUAAUGACACUGUGUGCAACUGACCUGAUUGCUUUAAGUUUAUUAUUUAAACAAUGAUUUCAA